rnacentral:lncRNA from 1 species
AUUUAGUGUCAAAAUUUAGCACAAAAUGCGAAGGGGACCAAUAAAUCAGGACGAUUGAUGAUCAAUACGCUAGUUUUCACUGGAUCUCACUUAGUCACGCAAAAUAACUGAUAACUAUAUGUCUCGAAAUAGCCUUUCGCUGCGUUUUAUAAAUAAAGCGAACAACACAACAAAGUACACGGUCGAAUGAUAUAUGAUAGUGACAAAACAAAUAUAAACAUACAACAUAAACGUCCUAAUACAUCGCCAUGACCCGACAGCCGGUGUCAUAGCUCCACGACAACGCCCUUAAGAGGGUUACGGCGCCAAGCGUCGCCGGUGCCGAGUCCGCGGACAUGGAUUUUCAUCCGAAACCCUGCUGGUAUAGGGAAGAGGCCCGCGAGAACGUCCUCAAGAGGAUAAUGACACCCCAAGGCGUCGCUGUCGUCGGCGCCAAAGCACAAAGGUUUCACUUGGGAACUCCUCUGCCCUACCAGGAGACACCAGACAACCACUGUGACGAAGAUCAUCCCAUCCAAAUCAGAUUUCAGCGCCACCACCCCCGCUGCAAGAGAACAGACCAAAGCCUUCCGCCGCUACUCCUCUUGCCGCCCACACAACCAAGAGUUGAAGCCGCCACCACCACUACGGAGCUCGUCGGAGAGCAAAGCCCACCUUUCGAGGCCGCCGCCACGGCAUCCAAGGACGAUGGCUACAUCGACGCCAUAACAAGCAGACGCCACCCCCAAGCAACCCACGGAACUCCGCUGCAACAUGGCCGGAGGUGACCGGAGCAAGCACAAGGAACAACCUUCCCCGAUCAGGGGGACCAGUGUCAACCCCUGUCCCGGCGGGCCAGCUCGCGCCAUCGGCCAACUGCCAGCCUACACUACUAGGAGGGGCAGGCGUCGCCCCAUCAGAUCUGCCUGCGCAAAAAUAGAUGGGAAGACCACCGCGGCAUCCGGCACCUCCGGCCGCCCAAUGGCAGCUAGCACCUCUGGAGGCCAAUCGCCAUCACCUCCAAACGCUCCCACAGCAUGCUCUGCCACUGCUGUGCCACCAUCGAGGGCCACCACACAACCUAGCACACCGGAC